rnacentral:rRNA from 1 species
UACGGGGGGGGGCAAGCGUUGUUCGGAAUUACUGGGCGUAAAGGGCUCGUAGGUGGCCAACUAAGUCAGACGUGAAAUCCCUCAGCUUAACUGGGGAACUGCGUCUGAUACUGGAUGGCUUGAGUUUGGGAGAGGGAUGCGGAAUUCCAGGUGUAGCGGUGAAAUGCGUAGAUAUCUGGAGGAACACCGGUGGCGAAGGCGGCAUCCUGGACCGACACUGACGCUGAGGAGCGAAAGCCAGGGGAGCAAACGGG